GUUUCUCUCUCACUUCGGCAGCACAUAUACUAAAAUUGGAACAAUAACAGAGAAGAUUACCAUGGCCCCUGCACAAGGAGAUCAUGAAUAUAUAUAUGUAUGUCUGUGUGUGU
rfam:Tupaia chinensis contig104158, whole genome shotgun sequence.